rnacentral:rRNA from 1 species
GACGAACGCUGGCGGCGUGCCUAACACAUGCAAGUCGAACGGGGCAAUUUCUUCGGAGAUUGCUUAGUGGCGAACGGGUGAGUAACGCGUGAGAAACCUGCCUUUCAGUGGGGGACAACAGUUGGAAACGACUGCUAAUACCGCAUAAUGUCAUUUAGGGGCAUCCCUGGAUGACCAAAGCUUUAUGUGCUGAAAGAUGGUCUCGCGUCUGAUUAGCUAGUUGGUGAGGUAACGGCUCACCAAGGCGACGAUCAGUAGCCGGUCUGAGAGGAUGAACGGCCACAUUGGGACUGAGAUACGGCCCAGACUCCUACGGGAGGCAGCAGUGGGGAAUAUUGGGCAAUGGGGGCAACCCUGACCCAGCAACGCCGCGUGAAGGAGAAGGCUUCGGUGUAAACUUCUUUUACCAGGGACGAAGACGUGACGGUACCUGGAGAAAAAGGCCACGGCUAACUACGUGCC